UGAGCAAUCUGCCCUUCUCAUCGGAAUAAGCGUUGGAAACGACGUCUAAUGCCGAAUACGACCUCCUUUCGCAUGAUCGGAGGUGGAAAGCUCCGGCGGAGAAGGAUGAGCUCGCGGCCUAUCAGCUAGUUGGUGUGGGUAAUGGCUCACCAAGGCGACGACGGGUAGCCGGCCUGAGGAGGGCGAUCGGCCACACUGGGACUGAGACACGGCCCAGACCUCUACGGGA
rnacentral:rRNA from 1 species